rnacentral:sRNA from 1 species
UAUUUCUCCAUACGGGGAAGGAUGAGAAGCUUCGACCAAGGUUCGAUUCGAGCGCAGCGAGAAAGCGUUGACGCAGGCAACGACCCGAAGGGUGAGGAGCG